UUUUUUCUCAGCUGCAAAACUUUUUCUUGUAAAAUUAUGUAUCGUUUUGCAGCAAAACUUGCUUCUAAAUCCAGGGUUGCCAGAAGCAGCACCCAACAGGUUGGUAGUAGGUUGAAUUGGAGCAGAAACUAUGCUGCUAAGGAUAUUAAAUUUGGAGUUGAAGCUAGGGGAAUUAUGCUUCAAGGAGUUGAGCAGCUUGCUGAUGCAGUCAAAGUCACUAUGGGUCCAAAGGGUCGUAAUGUGGUGAUUGAACAAAGUUGGGGUGCACCCAAGGUGACAAAAGAUGGUGUCACUGUUGCAAAAAGCAUUGAAUUCAAGGAUAAAAUAAAAAAUGUUGGUGCCAGCCUUGUAAAGCAAGUUGCCAAUGCCACUAAUGAUGCUGCUGGCGAUGGUACCACUUGUGCAACAGUACUCACCCGAGCAAUAUUUGCUGAAGGAUGCAAGUCAGUGGCAGCUGGUAUGAAUGCAAUGGACCUUAGACGGGGUAUUACCAUGGCUGUAGAUUCUGUUGUGACAAACCUGAAAAGCAGAGCACGGAUGAUAAGCACAUCCGAGGAGAUUGCCCAGGUUGGUACAAUCUCUGCAAAUGGAGAACGGGAAAUAGGUGAGAUAAUUGCAAGGGCUAUGGAGCAAGUAGGAAAAGAAGGUGUCAUCACUAUUCAAGAUGGAAAGACACUGCUUAAUGAUUUGCAAGUUGUUGAGGGGAUGAAGUUGGACAGGGGCUACAUAUCCCCAUACUUCAUCACAAAUGAGAAGAAUCAGAAAUGUGAGCUGGAUGACCCACUUAUUCUUAUUCAUGAGAAAAAGAUCUCAAGCAUAAAUGCUAUUGUGAAAGUGUUAGAAUUGGCUUUGAAGAGACAAAGGCCCCUCCUAAUUGUGUCCGAAGAUGUGGAGAGUGAAGCACUCGCUACACUUAUUCUGAACAAGCUUCGUGCUGGAAUCAAGGUUUGCGCCAUAAAAGCACCAGGAUUUGGUGAAAACAGGAAGGCUAAUUUGCAAGAUUUGGCUGCUUUAACUGGAGGCCAGGUCAUUACCGAAGAACUUGGAAUGAACAUUGAAAAUGUGGAGUUGGAGAUGCUGGGUAAAUGCAAAAAGGUGACCAUCUCCAAGGAUGACACUGUUGUUCUUGAUGGUGCGGGUGAGAAGAAGGCCAUAGAGGAGAGAUGUGAACAGAUUAGAUCAGCAAUUGAACUGAGCACGUCUGAUUAUGACAAGGAGAAAUUGCAGGAAAGACUAGCUAGGCUUUCAGGGGGUGUUGCAGUGUUGAAGGUAGGAGGAGCUAGUGAAGUCGAGGUUGGUGAGAAGAAAGACAGAGUUACAGAUGCUUUGAAUGCCACAAAAGCUGCUGUCGAGGAAGGAAUUCUUCCAGGUGGUGGGGUUGCACUUCUUUACGCAUCAAAAGAACUGGACUCAUUGCCAACAGCCAACUUUGACCAGA
rnacentral:misc_RNA from 1 species